AGGCCAUAUCACGUUGAAACUCCGUUUCGCGUCCGAUCACCGAAGUUAAGCAACGAUGAACCUGGUCAGUACCUCGAUGGGUGACCACUGUGGGAUACCAGCUGCUA